GAUAAGAUUCUGUAAUCAGGCCCAAAAUAAAUGUCAGUUCCAGGCCCACUGGGCUCUUAAUCUGGCCCUGGGUGCAGGGCAUAGAUCAUUGGCUAACAUCAAUCAGCAGACACACUCAGCCAUUGAACUGGCCCUGCACAGUGGGGUUUAGUUAAAGAGAGCUAACUAACUCCUUGCAGUAGCUUCUGGCUCUCACUUCCAGCUGUUAGGAGGUAGUG